rnacentral:rRNA from 1 species
GACGAACCGUGCGAACGUUGUUCGGAAUCACUGGGCGUAAAGGGUGCGUAGGCGGCCGUGCAAGUCUGGCGUGAAAGCCCCGGGCUCAGCCCGGGAAGUGCGCUCGAAACUGCGCGGCUCGAGUCCGGAAGAGGCGAGUGGAAUUCCUGGUGUAGCGGUGAAAUGCGCAGAUAUCAGGAGGAACACCGGUGGCGAAGGCGGGUCUCUGGGCCGAUACUGACGCUGAGGAGCGAAAGCGUGGGGAGCGAACAGG